GGGGAUAUAGCUCAGCAGCACAGCACCUGCCUGGCAAGCAUGAGUCCCUGAGUUUGAUUCUCAGUACCA
rnacentral:tRNA from 1 species